AAAAGAUAACAUUUUAGAACGACUUUUUCCUUUAACCGGUCUAAAAGGUUAACCUUUUAGAUUGGUUAUAGGAAAAAAUCGUUCUAAAAAGUAUAUUAUUU
rnacentral:pre_miRNA from 1 species